ACAAGUACCGUGAGGGAAAGUUGCAAAGCACUUUGAAGAGAGAGUUAAAGAGGACGUGAAACCGAUAAGGUGGAAACGGAUAGAGCCGACGUAUCUGGCCUGUAUUCAGCCGGUAACUUGUAUUUCUCUAUUAAUUCAGACCUGUUUCUGGCUGGGCUGGUGGAGUUAGUGCAUUUUCCUGGUGCAUUUACAGGUGGUGUGCGCCGAAUCUUACACGGUAGUAGCUGGAUUGUUAUUUUGAGGUCUCCUUUUGGAGAAACCCUGAUGAUUGGAAGGUUAUUUGCUGUGUAAGUAUGUCCACGGCCUACGGUUGAGCUUUUAGUAAGUUUUGGCCCUGGUUGGAGUCGCAUGCGACUUUGCCUUGGUUGAUUCUUGCUGAGGGUUAGACCUCGUGGGAGCUUUCGGUGUAAAAGUCGGUCAUCUCUCCGACCCGUCUUGAAACACGGACCAAGGAGUUUAGCAAGUGUGCGAGUCAUUGAGUGUAAAACUCAAAGGCGCAAUGAAAGUAAAGGUUUCGCUUGACGAACUAAUAUGUGACCUCGUUGGUUUCGGCCGAUGGGAGCAGCAUAGCCCCGUCCCAACUGCUUGCAGUGGGGCGGAGGAAGAGCGUACUUGCUGAGACCCGAAAGAUGGUGAACUAUGCCUGAGCAGGACGAAGCCAGAGGAAACUCUGGUGGAAGUCCGGAGCGGUUCUGACGUGCAAAUCGAUCGUCUGACUUGGGUAUAGGGGCGAAAGACUAAUCGAACCAUCUAGUAGCUGGUUCCUUCGGA
rnacentral:rRNA from 1 species